CACGGGGGUUGCGAGCGUCGUCCGGAAUUACUAGGCGUAAAGGGCAGGCAGGCGGAUCCAUAAGUUUAUCGUUUAAGGCGUCGGCUUAACCGGCGUAGGGCGGUAGAUACUGUGGAUCUGGAAUGCGGUUGGGGAAGACAGAAUUCCUGGUGUAGCGGUGGAAUGCGCAGAGAUCAGGAGGAAUACCGAAGGCGAAGGCAGUCUUCCAAGCCGUUAUUGACGCUCAACUGCGAAGGUGUGGGUAUCAAACAGGAUUAGAUACCCGUGUAGUCCCU
rnacentral:rRNA from 1 species